rnacentral:rRNA from 1 species
AUUGAACGCUGGCGGCAUGCCUUACACAUGCAAGUCGAACGGCAGCACGGGUGCUUGCACCUGGUGGCGAGUGGCGAACGGGUGAGUAAUAUAUCGGAACGUACCUUAUUGUGGGGGAUAACGCAGCGAAAGCUGUGCUAAUACCGCAUAAUCACAAAGGGGGAAAGCGGGGGACCGUAAGGCCUCGCGCAAUUAGAGCGGCCGAUACCUGAUUAGCUAGUUGGUGAGGUAAAGGCUCACCAAGGCAACGAUCAGUAGCUGGUCUGAGAGGACGAUCAGCCACACUGGGACUGGGACACGGCCCAGACUCCUACGGGAGGCAGCAGUGGGGAAUUUUGGACAAUGGGGGCAACCCUGAUCCAGCAAUGCCGCGUGAGUGAAGAAGGCCUUCGGGUUGUAAAGCUCUUUUGUCAGGGAAGAAACAGCAGCUCUAACACAGUUUGCGAAUGACGGUACCUGAAGAAUAAGCACCGGCUAACUACGUGCCAGCCGCCGCAGUAA